UACGAAGGGGGCAAGCGUUGUUCGGAAUUACUGGGCGUAAAGGGCGUGUAGGCGGAUCGACCAGUCAGGGGUGAAAUCCCGGGGCUCAACCUCGGAACUGCCUUUGAUACUGUCGAUCUAGAGUCUGUGAGAGGGUGGCGGAAUACCCAGUGUAGAGGUGAAAUUCGUAGAUAUUGGGUAGAACACCAGUGGCGAAGGCG
rnacentral:rRNA from 1 species